AUUGAACGCUGGCGGCAGGCCUAACACAUGCAAGUCGAGCGGAUGAAGGGAGCUUGCUCCUGGAUUCAGCGGCGGACGGGUGAGUAAUGCCUAGGAAUCUGCCUGGUAGUGGGGGAUAACGUCCGGAAACGGGCGCUAAUACCGCAUACGUCCUGAGGGAGAAAGUGGGGGAUCUUCGGACCUCACGCUAUCAUAUGAGCCUAGGUCGGAUUAGCUAGUUGGUGGGGUAAAGGCCUACCAAGGCGACGAUCCGUAACUGGUCUGAGAGGAUGAUCAGUCACACUGGAACUGAGACACGGUCCAGACUCCUACGGGAGGCAGCAGUGGGGAAUAUUGGACAAUGGGCGAAAGCCUGAUCCAGCCAUGCCGCGUGUGUGAAGAAGGUCUUCGGAUUGUAAAGCACUUUAAGUUGGGAGGAAGGGCAGUAAGUUAAUACCUUGCUGUUUUGACGUUACCAACAGAAUAAGCACCGGCUAACUUCGCG
rnacentral:rRNA from 1 species